rnacentral:rRNA from 1 species
GACGAACGCUGGCGGCGUGCCUAAUACAUGCAAGUCGAACGCAGUGGGGACGGGUGAGUAACGCGUGGGUAACCUCCCCUAAGAGGGGAUAACACUUGGAAACAGGUGCUAAACCGAUACUGAUGGAUGGACCCGCGGUGCAUUAGCUAGUUGGUGAGGUAACGGCUCACCAAGGCCACGAUGCAUAGCCGACCGGCGAGGGUGAUCGGCCAACCGGGGACUGAGACACGGACUAGACUCCUACGGGAGGCAGCAGUAGGGAAUCUUCGGCAAUGGACGAAAGUCUGACCGAGAAACGCGGCGUGAGUGAAGAAGGUUUUAGGAGCGUAAAACUCUGUUGUUAGAGAAGCGGUAUCUAACCAGAAAGCCACGGCUAACUACGUGCCAGCCGCCGCGGUAAUAC